rnacentral:rRNA from 1 species
CGUUGCCUCGGCAGGUCGCACCUACCUUGUAGCACCCUACCCUGUAGGGCCUACCCGGGAGGUGCGGGUAAGCCUGCCGGCGGCCCACCAAACUCUGUUUGAUAUUGAAUUCUGAACCUAUAACUAAAUAAGUUAAAACUUUCAACAACGGAUCUCUUGGUUCUGGCAUCGAUGAAGAACGCAGCGAAAUGCGAUAAGUAAUGUGAAUUGCAGAAUUCAGUGAAUCAUCGAAUCUUUGAACGCAUAUUGCGCCCAUUAGUAUUCUAGUGGGCAGGACCGUUCGAGCGUCAUUUCAACCCUUAAGCCUUCGUUGCUUAGUGUUGGGAGCCUACGGCAACGUAGCUCCUCAAAGUUAGUGGCGGAGUUGGUUCACACUCUAGACGUAGUAAUUUUUUAUCUCGCCUAUUAGUUGGACUAAUCCCCUGCCGUAAAACCCCCAAUUUAUCAAGGUUGACCUCGAAUCGGUUCAGACAAACUCGCUAAAUUGAAGCAUCUUAGUCAGCGAAGGAAAAGAAACCAACAGGGAUUGCCCUAGUAACGGCGAGUGAAGCGGCAACAGCUCAAAUUUGAAAUCUGGCCCUC